rnacentral:ncRNA from 2 species
CCAAUAGCGUAUAUUAAAGUUGUUGCAGUUAAAAAGCUCGUAGUUGAAUUUUAGGCCUGACCGGACGGUCCGUCUCUGGCGAGUACUGUUCUGCUGUCGGGUCUAUCCUUCUGGUGAGCCGGUAUGCCCUUUAUUGGGUGUGUCGGGGAACCAGGACCAUUACCUUGAAAAAAUUAGAGUGUUUAAAGCGGGCUUUUGCUUGAAUAGAUUAGCAUGGAAUAAUAGAAUAGGACGUUGGUUCUAUUUUGUUGGUCUAGGACCACCGUAAUGAUUAAUAGGGAUAGUUGGGGGCAUUAGUAUUCAAUUGUCAGAGGUGAAAUUCUUGGAUUUAUUGAAGACUAACUACUGCGAAAGCAUUUGCCAAGGAUGUUUUCAUUAAUCAAGAACGAAAGUUAGGGGAUCGAAGACGAUCAGAUACCGUCGUAGUCUUAACCAUAAACUAUGCCGACUAGGAAUCGGGCGACGUUAUUUUCAUGACUCGCUCGGCGCCUUAUG